rnacentral:tRNA from 2 species
GGGGGUGUGGCUCAAUUGGUAGGGGCGCUCGCUUAGCAUGUGAGAGGCACCGGGAUCGAUACCCGGCAUCUCCA